rnacentral:piRNA from 1 species
UCAUCCAGUAUAUCGUAGAAAUGCAAG